AACGAACGCUGGCGGCAUGCCUAACACAUGCAAGUCGAACGAGACCUUCGGGUCUAGUGGCGCACGGGUGCGUAACGCGUGGGAACCUGCCCUUAGGUUCGGAAUAACUCCCCGAAAGGGGUGCUAAUACCGGAUAAUGUCUUCGGACCAAAGAUUUAUCGCCUUUGGAUGGGCGCGCGUUGGUUUAGCCAGUUGGUAGGGUAAAAGCCUACCAAGGCGUCGAUCCAUAGCUGGUCUGAGAGGAGGAGCAGCCACACUGGGGCUGAGACACGGCCCAGACUCCUACGGGAGGGAGGAGUGGGGAAUAUUGGACAAUGGGCGAAGGCCUGAUCCAGCAAUGCCGCGUGAGUGAUGAAGGCCGUAGGGUUGUAAAGCUCUUUUACCCGGGACGAUAAUGACGGUACCGGGAGAAUAAGCACCGGCUAACUCCGUG
rnacentral:rRNA from 1 species